UCCGACGGUGAAUGACGCAGCGGAAUGGAAUAUAAUCGAAGAAGAAAACGAUCUAGGACCUAAUCGGACCGAAUGUGAGGAAGAACUCACGAAAACCCUAAUUAGGAGAAAACCCUAAAUCGAACGGAGAAACACCGAUUGGACCAAUUAAUCGGUGUAAAAUGGAUAUUAAACGGUGGAAAGGUGUUUAGACAAGGAAUCAAUCGGUAGAAAUGGUUGGAAAUGGUGAAAUGAGGCUUUUAAUCAGUGGAAACCUAGCAAAUGGUGGGAUAGGAUGAAGAUCGGUGAGGGAAGAGGCUUUUACCGGUGAGAUCGUGACGACAGUGGUGGAUCGGAGUUUGGCUGAUGGUCGGAGACGAAAGUGAGUUCGAGAGAGAGAGGACUCUCGAGAGGAAUUGACGCUGAGAGUGAUUUGGAGAAAUGAAUGGUUGAAGCUUCUGAAGCGUACUGAAGAAUCAGAGACGUGGCUGAUGAUGUGUGGCUAGCGUGAAGUAAUGGUGCAGCGUGUAUGAGAGAGAAAGCACAAUGGUAAAAUUGGAAAAUGAUAGAAUGAGGUAGUG
rnacentral:lncRNA from 1 species